UACGAAGGAUGCGAGCGUUAUCCGGAUUUAUUGGGUUUAAAGGGUGCGUAGGCGGUCUUAUAAGUCAGUGGUGAAAUCUUGUCGCUUAACGACAAACGUGCCAUUGAUACUGUAGGACUUGAGUACAGAUGCCGUUGGCGGAAUGUGUCAUGUAGCGGUGAAAUGCAUAGAUAUGACACAGAACACCGAUUGCGAAGGCAGCUGACGAAACUGUAACUGACGCUGAUGGCACGAAAGCGUGGGGAUCAAACAGG
rnacentral:rRNA from 1 species